AGUCACUGACAUUAGAUACCCCCGUAGUCCCAGCCGUAAACUAUGCGCGUUAGGUGUAUCGGUGACCACGAGUCACCGAGGUGCCGAAGGGAAACCGUGAAACGUGCCGCCUGGGAAGUACGGUCGCAAGGCUGAAACUUAAAGGAAUUGGCGGGGGAGCACAACAACGGGUGGAGCCUGCGGUUUAAUUGGACUCAACGCCGGACAACUCACCGGGAACGACAGCAAUAUGUAGGCCAGGCUGAAGACCUUGCCUGAAUCGCUG
rnacentral:rRNA from 1 species